rnacentral:tRNA from 3 species
GCGGGUGUGGCGGAAUUGGCAGACGCACCAGACUUAGGAUCUGGCGCCUUACGGCGUGGGGGUUCAAGUCCCUCCACCCGCAC